rnacentral:sRNA from 1 species
UUAUAAGCCUGAUUGCAGUGCAAAGCCCGCAACGCAGUGAGGACUUGCAACGGAAAGCAGGGCUGCAG